GACGAACGCUGGCGGCGUGCUUAACACAUGCAAGUCGAACGCUGAAGACCUGGCUUUUGUUGGGUUGGAUGAGUGGCGAACGGGUGAGUAACACGUGAGUAACCUGCCCUCUUCUUUGGGAUAACGCCCGGAAACGGGUGCUAAUACUGGAUAUUCACUGAUCUUCGCAUGGGGGUUGGUGGAAAGGUUUGUUCUGGUGGGGGAUGGGCUCGCGGCCUAUCAGCUUGUUGGUGGGGUGAUGGCCUACCAAGGCUUUGACGGGUAGCCGGCCUGAGAGGGUGACCGGUCACAUUGGGACUGAGAUACGGCCCAGACUCCUACGGGAGGCAGCAGUGGGGAAUAUUGCACAAUGGGCGAAAGCCUGAUGCAGCGACGCCGCGUGAGGGAUGGGGGCCUUCGGGUUGUAAACCUCUUUCGCUCAUGGUCAAGCCGCAACUGUGGGUUGUGGUGAGGGUAGUGGGUAAAGAAGCGCCGGCUAACUACGUG
rnacentral:rRNA from 1 species